UCCCUGGUGGCUCAGACGGUAAAAGCAUCUGUCUACAAUGUGGAAGACCCAGGUUCAAUCCCUGGGUUGGGAA
rnacentral:tRNA from 1 species